rnacentral:ncRNA from 1 species
CACCCGUUUCGGGAACCUUGGUACAGGCAGGCCGGGGAUUCCCUCUUUACACCGGGCCCAGCGCAAUCAGCGCGGCCCUCACGCUUUUGGGAACCUUGGUACAGGCAGGCCGGGGCUUCCCCUCUUUACACCGGGCCCGGCGCAAUCAGCGCCCCGCCCUCACGCUUUUGGGGACCUUGGUACAGGCAGGCCGGGAAUCCCCUCUUUUAUUCCUCGCGC